UACGUAGGGUGCGAGCGUUAAUCGGAAUUACUGGGCGUAAAGCGUGCGCAGGCGGUUCGUUGUGUCGGCGGUGAAAGCCCCGGGCUUAACCUGGGAAUGGCCGUCGAAACUGGCGAACUGGAGUGUGGCAGAGGGGGGUGGAAUUCCGCGUGUAGCAGUGAAAUGCGUAGAUAUGCGGAGGAACACCGAUGGCGAAGGCAAUCCCCUGGACCUGUACUGACGCUCAUGCACGAAAGCGUGGGGAGCAAACAGG
rnacentral:rRNA from 1 species